rnacentral:rRNA from 1 species
AAACUUAAAUGAAUUGACGGGACCCGCACAAGCGGUGGAUGAUGUGGUUUAAUUCGAUGCAACGACGAAAACCUUACCCACCUUUGACAUGUACGGAACCCUUUAGAGAUAGAGGGGUGCUCGAAAGAGAGCCGUAACACAGGUGCUGCAUGGCUGUCGUCAGCUUGUGUCGUGAGAUGUUGGGUUAAGUCCCGCAACGAGCGCAACCCUUGUCAUUAGUUGCUACAUUCAGUUGGGCACUCUAAUGAGACUGCCGGUGACAAGCCGGAGGAAGGUGGGGAUGACGUCAAGUCCUCAUGGCCCUUAUAGGUGGGGCUACACACGUCAUACAAUGGCUGGUACAAAGGGUUGCCAACCCGCGAGGGGGAGCCAAUCCCAUAAAGCCAGUCGUAGUCCGGAUCGUAGUCUGCAACUCGACUACGUGAAGUCGGAAUCGCUAGUAAUCGUGGAUCAGAAUGUCACGGUGAAUACGUUCCCGGGUCUU